rnacentral:rRNA from 1 species
CCUACGGGAGGCAGCAGUGAGGAAUAUUGGUCAAUGGACGAGAGUCUGAACCAGCCAAGUAGCGUGAAGGAUGACUGCCCUAUGGGUUGUAAACUUCUUUUAUAAAGGAAUAAAACGAGGCACGUGUGCCUUUUUGCAUGUACUUUAUGAAUAAGGAUCGGCUAACUCCGUGCAAGCAGCCGCGGUAAUACGGAGGAUCCGAGCGUUAUCCGGAUUUAUUGGGUUUAAAGGGAGCGUAAAUGGGUUGUUAAGUCAGUUGUGAAAGUUUGCGGCUCAACCGUAAAAUUGCAAUUGAUACUGGCAGUCCUGAGUACAGUUGAGGUAGGCGGAAUUCGUGGUGUAGCGGUGAAAUGCUUAGAUAUCACGAAGAACCCCGAUUGCGAAGGCAGCUUACUAAACUGUGACUGACAUUGAUGCUCGAAAGUGUGGGUAUCAAACAGGAUUAGAUACCCGGGUAGUC